UCAGGAGGAUCCCAAGUUGAAGGCCAGCCUGGGCCAACAGUGAGACUCUACCUACUUACAUAAAGGGAUAGAUAGGGUGGUAUCUUCCUUGCGUACCUCCUCCUCCAGGACACAGCCCGCAGCGGAAUCCCAGGCCUCACACAAGCCCCCAAGCUAGAGUAUCACACAUGCUUCCCCAGCCCACCGUCUGGGUGUGGAACACCACGUCGUCAUAGGCUGGCACUUCCCUGCUUCGUGAGCACAGGGCGGUUUACUAAACAGCAGUGUGUAGGGAGGAUGGACUGUUUUGCCCUGCAUGCUAUUGAUGUCUUCAUUAGGAGAAUUGAAACUCAUGACUGUAGCAGGAAAAAGGUUGAACAUAGUCCCUACUCUUUCUCCAUCGAAGAACGAGGCCUGCACUCUGGUGAGCACGGAAACGACUUGUCUGCAAAAUGACAGAAGUCAGUAAUCAGAGGGUUUCUGAGUCUAAGGCUGAAGUAAAAAUUCGUGGAAUUGCUGGUUCACUUGAGCCUGCAUCUGCUUGGGACUUAUGGUCUUCGGUCACCUCAAGGUAGAAAUUCCACUCUUUCCACGGAGGUCUCUGCGAGGAAUCUAGUUAAUCUGAUAGAAUUCAACCCAUGGUGACAAAUGAUCACACUUUUUGUAGGCCUUAUUUAUUUAAGGAAAAGCUCAUCAACAUGAGGUAGCAUAAAGAAGAAGAAGAAAAGAAUACGGAAAUCAUCCUCAUCCAAAAGAAAAUAACGUUAAGUAUCACAAAUAAGAAAAUAUGAGGAUCUUAAUCUGCUAAACUUCCUAGGAACUAGGUUGUUCUGAAGGAAACCUGGUUAUGAAUACUGACAUGUGUUGGUGUGUUCUUCUGUCUCUUAGCUAGAACAAAUAUGAUGGAAACAUUCGUGACGUCAGGGCUGUGUAAGGCCGUAUCUCCCAUCACGGGAGGUAAGGCUUAAUGGUUAUAUGCUUAAUGUCAUGUAUUUUAGGAAAAUAAAUGUUAGUAGCAUGUCAACAAA